AGUGAACGCUGGCGGUGGCCUCACCCAUGCAAGUCGAACGGCAGCACAGUAAGAGCUUGCUCUUACGGGUGGCGAGUGGCGGACGGGUGAGGAAUACAUCGGAAUCUACUUUUUCGUGGGGGAUAACGUAGGGAAACUUACGCUAAUACCGCAUACGACCUACGGGUGAAAGCAGGGGAUCUUCGGACCUUGCGCGAUUGAAUGAGCCGAUGUCGGAUUAGCUAGUUGGCGGGGUAAAGGCCCACCAAGGCGACGAUCCGUAGCUGGUCUGAGAGGAUGAUCAGCCACACUGGAACUGAGACACGGUCCAGACUCCUACGGGAGGCAGCAGUGGGGAAUAUUGGACAAUGGGCGCAAGCCUGAUCCAGCCAUACCGCGUGGGUGAAGAAGGCCUUCGGGUUGUAAAGCCCUUUUGUUGGGAAAGAAAAGCAGCAGGUUAAUACCCCGCUGUUCUGACGGUACCCAAAGAAUAAGCACCGGCUAACUUCGUG
rnacentral:rRNA from 1 species